GAUGAACGCUGGCGGCGUGCCUAAUACAUGCAAGUCGAACGCUGAAGGAGGAGCUUGCUCUUCUGGAUGAGUUGCGAACGGGUGAGUAACGCGUAGGUAACCUGCCUGGUAGCGGGGGAUAACUAUUGGAAACGAUAGCUAAUACCGCAUGACAACAGUUAUUGCAUGAUAACUGUUUAAAAGGGGCAACUGCUCCACUACCAGAUGGACCUGCGUUGUAUUAGCUAGUUGGUGAGGUAACGGCUCACCAAGGCGACGAUACAUAGCCGACCUGAGAGGGGGAUCGGCCACACUGGGACUGAGACACGGCCCAGACUCCUACGGGAGGCAGCAGUAGGGAAUCUUCGGCAAUGGACGGAAGUCUGACCGAGCAACGCCGCGUGAGUGAAGAAGGUUUUCGGAUCGUAAAGCUCUGUUGUAAGAGAAGAACGAGUGUGAGAGUGGAAAGUUCACACUGUGACGGUAUCUUACCAGAAAGGGACGGCUAACUACGUG
rnacentral:rRNA from 1 species